rnacentral:lncRNA from 7 species
CUCGACUAUGCACAUAUGAAGAACGGAAGCCUUGACAGACUAAGCAAUGAUAGUAGAUAUUGUUGAUCUGUCAAUGAUGAUGAUGAGGUGGUUGUCACAGAAGAACACAAUAUUGAUAGAAAUGGUGUUUAUGCGAAGGCAUUUUCUUACUUGACAAGUGACAAUGACAUUCUUGAAAGAGAGCAUAUUUCUUACGAACAAGGAGAUUCUAUUCAAGGCACAUCAUUUCUUAAACAAGGGUUCAUUAUAGAUGAUGGACAAGCUGAAGUUGCCCAGUGCAUGGUAACAUUAGAGAUGCAAAAUCUUG